rnacentral:misc_RNA from 1 species
UCCGGUUUGUCACCGGCAGUCCCAUUAGAGUGCCCAACUUAAUGUGGCAACUAAUGGCAAGGGUUGCGCUCGUUGCGGGACUUAACCCAACAUCUCACGACACGAGCUGACGACAGCCAUGCAGCACCUGUGUUACGGUUCCCUUUCGGGCACACCUCCAUCUCUGGAGGCUUCCGUACAUGUCAAGGGUAGGUGGGGAUGACGUCCCAAGGUUGGUU